rnacentral:misc_RNA from 1 species
UGAAAUAAUCGCCUACUCUAUAUAUCGAUAACGAUCAAACAAUAAUGCACCAAAUUUUGAUAUUUAUUCGAGUUAUAUAAUUACUUGUUUUGCAAAAGCAGUUUUUCCUUCGUUUUGUCAGUUUUUAUUCGUUAUUAUCACUACUUAACGUGAAUCAUAUGUUCCGGCAAUUUAUUGUAAAAAUGGUGAACGUCAGAGCAUGCCAAACAUGUUAAAAUGCAUGUCUUUCUUAUCAGAAGCAUGAAAAGUGGUAAAUGCUAGUUAGUACACUGUGUAGUUAGACAUCAGCUAUGAUUACUGUUUUUAUUCUGUUUUGCAGUGUACCUCUCGUAUUGGAUGCAGCACGGGUAACUGAAAAUAGAAUCGUAGGAGGCUUUCCAACUCUCAUCCACGCUCAUCCGUACCAACUUACGUUCCUCUUUCAAAAAAACUUUAUUUGUGGAGCAGUACUAAUAACAAAGGACGCCGCUCUGACCGCAGCCCAUUGCGUGAGGCUUACUAGUCCUGACCCAGCAGAUUUUUCUGUAAGGGCAGGAAGUUCUUUUUCUUGGUUUGGAGGCAUCGAGAUGGAUGUCGACAAGGUCAUCCCUCACCCAAAGUUUGCCACAUUUGAUUAUGACAUAGCGGUCAUAAAAUUAGUAGAGGCCCUGCCGCUGUCAAGCAGGAUUCAACCGAUAUCAAUUUCCAAAGUUGGCGGAGAAAGUUUGGCUGGAAAAAUGGUGAAGGUUUCUGGUUGGGGCGUCACUAUACCAUUCAUACCUCAAUCGACUUCCCUCAUAUUGCAAGAAACCACGUUGAGCAUUGUUAAAAAGAGUGUUUGCAAACAGACAACCGGGUACGAAUUUCUCACUGACAGAAUGAUUUGUGCUAAAGGGGUUGGUCCCUUUUCAGAUUCAUGUCAGAUAACCCCAUAAAAAGAAGUCGCAGACAGUAAGGUCGGGAGACCGAGGGGGCCAAGCGAUAUCCCCGUUUCGAGAAACGACACGCCCUGGGAACAAUGCAUUCACCGCAUUCAUUGAAAUUCUUGCAGUGUGGCUUGUUGCACCGUCUUGUUGAAAAAGUGUGUUUUCAUUAACUGGAAAGCGGUGAAGUUGAGCCUCAUCCUCAAAAAAAUACGGACCGAUGAUUCCAUUUGCCGACAUUGCACACCAUACUGUCACUUUCUGAGCAUGAAGAGGUGUUUUAUGAAGCAAACGAGGGUUCCCUUCCGCCCAGUACCUGAAAUUUUGUUUGUUAACAAAACCGGAGAGGUGAAAGUGUGCCUCAUCACUCAUCCACAAGUUGUUAACUUGGUCACCGUUUUCUACCAACCUGGCAUGCAUCACUUCACAAAAUCUGAGACGCUGUUGAUAAUCACUUAACUUCUUAACAUUGCUUGUCGAACACGUUCGAUAUUUUCAGGGGUUCGAAUCGUUCUGGCACUACCACCUCUUUUUCUAGAGGUCGAUCCAGUUUGCUCGAGGUUGUUUACCCAUAUUUUAAUCGAAUUGUCUGACGGAACAGGUUGGUAACGUGGUAUGUUAAAAUGCCGUCGAAAAUCCCGACGCGUUUGCACUAAACUAUCGCCAUUUUGAUAAUAAGCCUUAAUUGCGUAACCGCGAUGCUCACGCGUCCAACGCUCCAUUGCAGACUAAAUGGCAAGCCACUCGGGUUCCGGCAGGCCUGUGACUGUCUUCCCUACGACUUCAAAGCGCGCUGCAAGCCCCACCCCAAAUCUUCCCGUUUCAUUGCCGAACCCUGUAUAUGCAACCAACUACACGCCCGAAUAGAGAUAUUUAGACCAUUCUCUUUUUUUCCAAUUGUUACCCUCCAAUUCGAAUUCUCAUCAAACGAUAACAUCCUAAAUCCCAGUGUAGGCUACGACGGUAUUUAAAUGUUGUAAUGGUCAGCAGGUUAGCCCCUGCUCCCAAUGUACGUACUUAAAUUAUGUGGUAAUACGAAUGAAUUAA